rnacentral:rRNA from 1 species
CAACGGAUAAAAGCUACCCUGGGGAUAACAGGCUUAUCUCCCCCAAGAGUCCACAUCGACGGGGAGGUUUGGCACCUCGAUGUCGGCUCAUCACAGCCUGGGGCUGUAGUAGGUCCCAAGGGUUGGGCUGUUCGCCCAUUAAAGUGGUACGCGAGCUGGGUUCAGAACGUCGUGAGACAGUUCGGUCCCUAUCCGUCGCAGGCGUAGGAAAUUUGAGAAGACCUGUCCUUAGUACG